ensembl:lincRNA 9230111E07Rik RIKEN cDNA 9230111E07 gene
UUUCUCCUUGAGCUCCAGAGUGACCAUACACAAGGCCAACACAAAGACAAAGCCCCACCCCCGCCCUAGAAAUGAACCACGAUUGACUGGCGUCUAAACUGCUGGAUGCAGCCCCACCUGAAGUCUUGCCCUGGGAUGCUCCAUCUCCACGGGCAACCGGCUUGCCUCUUGGGGUCUGGUUUUGUAUCAUUUGCACACAGAAAGCUCUGACUGACUGGGAGGAGGGAAGGGAAGAGAUCCCGGAUAGAGAGAGCUGUAGGCGCAGAGACGGGAAGGGAUUCAUAGCACAAGGCUCCCGGGGAAGGGUAUGCGCAUUUGCCACAGGUUUGUGGUGGGAGGAAUGUAUUCUGAGGAGAGGACAACCCACCAGACAGCUUGGAGUGGUGAGAAGCAGACUGAACACCAGAUUGAGCCCCACCAACACUAUCUCGUGUGCCAGGCUGCUGGUGUGUUCCUGGAGGCCCACACAGAACGAAUUCUAUGGUGCGCAGCGAGAGUACGAGCCAGUGGAGUGGCCCAGCUGCUCUGCUUCCUUGGUCCUGGAGAAGCUUGAUCCAGUGCCUCAAAUCAUCACCUUGCAGGCCCCUCCGUGACCAAGAGGGAAUCGGCCAGCUCCAGCUGGUGCUACAAGAAUUAUUGGGCUAGUGAGAUGACUCAGCAGGUAAAGAGAUUGCUGCCAAGCCUGGCGACUUGAGUUCGAGCCCCUGGACCCAUGUGGUGGAAAGUCUAACCCACUUCACAAAGUUAUUCUCUGACCUCCAGACUCCAGGGCCCAUGGUACACACGCCCCUCCACCCAUAAUAAAAUGUCC